rnacentral:rRNA from 1 species
UGGGGAAUAUUGCACAAUGGGCGCAAGCCUGAUGCAGCCAUGCCGCGUGUAUGAAGAAGGCCUUCGGGUUGUAAAGUACUUUCAGUCGGGAGGAAGGUGGUAAGGUUAAUAACCUUGGCAAUUGACGUUACCGACAGAAGAAGCACCGGCUAACUCCGUGCCAGCAGCCGCGGUAAUACGGAGGGUGCAAGCGUUAAUCGGAAUUACUGGGCGUAAAGCGCACGCAGGCGGUUGAUUGAGUCAGAUGUGAAAUCCCCGGGCUUAACCCGGGAAUUGCAUCUGAUACUGGUCAGCUAGAGUCUUGUAGAGGGGGGUAGAAUUCCAUGUGUAGCGGUGAAAUGCGUAGAGAUGUGGAGGAAUACCGGUGGCGAAAGCGGCCCCCUGGACAAAGACUGACGCUCAGGUGCGAAAGCGUGGGGAGCAAACAGG